rnacentral:rRNA from 1 species
GACGGGGGAUGCAAGUGUUAUCCGGAAUCACUGGGCGUAAAGCGUCUGCAGGUGGUUUCCUAAGUCCACUGUUAAACCUUGAGGCUCAACCUCAAAUCUGCAUUGGAAACUAGGAGACUUGAGUAUAGUAGGGGUAGAGGGAAUUUCCAGUGGAGCGGUGAAAUGCGUAGAUAUUGGAAAGAACACCGAUGGCGAAGGCACUCUACUGGGCUAUUACUGACACUCGGAGACGAAAGCUAGGGGAGCAAAUGGG